CAUUCAGUCUUUAGAUUUCUUGCUUUGAAUUUAACCUCAAACUUAAUUUAGAAAGAAUUGAAAGUAAGGGAAGCAGAAGUAAUAAUAUUUACUUUAUUCUGCUCUUCUCACCUCUCCAUCCCAGAGAAGAAGAGGAAGAAAGAUUCAGUGGCUUGAACUGCUAGUGAGACAGUAGCCUUCCAGUUGUAAGACCUGUCUGGAUAGUUCUUGUUCCCAGCAAAUGAGUCAAUAGCAGAAGGGUAUUUCUUGGAACGCUAUGGUAACUUUUCCAUGAAGCCACCAUUCUGAGCAAGGCUUAGUUGUUACCUAUCCUUGCAUUUACUUGAAAUUAACACAUAUAACCUCAUCAUGGCUCUACCACUUCCAUCUCUUUGUUGAACUUGCCUGCUGGUCUUGGUGGUUUUUAAUUUAUUUGUUAUGGAUAAUUUAUCCAGUACCAUCUUAACUAUCAAAGUUAAAAAAUGAUAUAUUGAAAAGCUAUAUUAGCAGUGUUUUCAGAUUGUGGAUUAUGCCCAAUAUUUAAAAAAAUAGAGUAAAAUAAAAUAAACUAGACAAAUUAAAAUAGACUAUUUAUUGUAUAGUAAAUGUAAGUAUUGUUUUGUGAAACUUUUGUUUCAGUUAUAUGUGCAUAUGUGUACAUGUAGUGGGUUUUUGUGUAAAGAAUAUUUAUUAAUUGUGGUAAGAAAGGUUUGAGAUCUGUUGCUUUAAACUAGAGCACACAGUAGUAGAAGGUACUACUCAAAAGAGUCCUAAAAAUCUAGGAAAUAAUACUUUUGGGGCUAAGGGAAAUUAUAUAUGGGCAUAGGUGGGCAAAUCACCUGCUUUUCUUCUAUCAUAAUGCUCUGGAAUUUCAUUAGUUUCCAAUGCUCUUUUUAUUAAGAAAAAUAGUCAUUCCCAUUUAUCAUCUAGGUCUAAUGGACCCGUUUUAUUUUUCUAUAAUUUUAAGUUAUUUUAUGAAUAAUUUGCAGAUGUAAGAAUAAAUAAUGGAAAAAAGCUUUAUUAAAAAUUUUGUAGAGAUUUAGGUAUAGCACAUCGUUUUUUUUCCAUAUGUUCUUGGUUUAUAAGAACCAAGAAUAUGUACCCCAAAUGACAACAUCCUUUAAGUACAACUAACCACUGAUCAAUGGUCAUGUCAAUACGGAGUCCAGAUUUCAAAUGCUUCUUUAAUAGAUUCUAACUUAUCACUGCUUCUGAUUCUGCUUGCAUUUGUAUCAUUGAAAUGCACCUACUUCAGGAGUAAGUUCAAGCUUUUUUUUUUUUUUGGCAUUUGUAUUAUCAAAAUUACUUUUGAAAAUUUUGAUGCUUUGUAAUUUGGUUGAAGAGAGGACCACUGUCUCAUUACUCUAUAAUUAUAAAAGGUUCUCAUAUUUAGAUUUACAAAGACUAUUUAGAAUAUUGUUCAUUUCUAUAUUAUUUCCAUCCUCCCAAAUACCUUUGUAUUAUAGGGACCUGCCUAUAAUAUUUAUAUUACUUCAAAACUGUAGUGGGUUGUAUAAAAGUGAUGGUACGUAAACGUCAUAAAAAUUUUUAAAAUGUUGACACACAUUCUUUUAGCGAAAUGGGUAAGUCAUAGAUUUUGUUGCAUAUUAUUGUGAAGUGAAAUCCAUUCUGUCUAAUGACUGGACGAGAAGAUAAAUUUUCUCUUGUUUUCAAGGCAAAUAAGAGGACGGGAGAGACUAAUAUGUCCUUAAAAAUGUACCAUUGAGUGACUGUGAUUGGGAAUUAGGGAUCUGUUUUGGGUUGAUGAAAAUGUUCCAAAAUUGGAUUGUGUUGAUAGUUGUACACCUCUGCAAAUUGAAUUGUACACUUAAGAAUAUACUGGUAAGUCACUAAUUUUUUGAGUUUGGGAAAGUUCAUAUAGGAUAUUGUCAGCUCCUCUAAGAGAUGAUAUAGAAAAAAAGAUUAAUUUGUUCAGUGCAGUAAGAAAACUGAGGAUCAUUGUAAUAGGUGUGAUUUAUUUAACUUUGUAUCAUUCUUCAGGUGAUUCCAUCAUUCUUUUGUUUCUUAUUAUUUUAGUUUAGUUUUUUUUAUCAUUGUGGGAAUAAUUGAAAUAAUUUAUAGGAUGAUAAAACAGUAUGUUUCAAGCUGUAGUGAAAAUAAGGUCACUAAGAUUCCAUAGUAUUACAUGGGUCACUAAGAUUCCAUAGUAUUACAUCCAAGGGAUCUCUAAUUAUGACAAUUUAGAGUUAUUUUAUUCUAAUUUAAAGCAGCUUUACACAUGAACUAAAGAGUAUGUAUUUAAAAUGAAUGGUUUGGGAGUUCCUGUUGUUGCUCAGUGGGUUACGAAGUAUCCACGAGGAUGCUGGUGCGGUUCCUGGCCUUGCUCAGUGGGUUAAGGAUCUGGCAUUGCCAUGAGCUGAGGUGUAAGUCGCAGAUGUGGCUUGGAUCUGGUGUUGCUGUGGCUCUGGUGUAGGCUGGCAGCUGCAGCUCUCCAGUUUGACCCCUAGCCUGGGAACUUCCAUAUGCCACAGGUGUGGCCCUAAAAAAAAAAAAA
rnacentral:lncRNA from 1 species